AUGCAGCUCAUGUGGAAUGGCGGGCAGCCUGCUAACGUCAGAGUGACCCUGGAAGAUAAAUCAGAGAUGAAUAUCACUGCCUGGAAUGCUUGUAUGACACUCUCUUCAGGUCAGCUUCAGAGAGUAUUAAGUAUGGGACACUUUAAUGCAUGUGGAUCUCUAGAACAAACAGCAGUGUUGUUUAAUGAAUAUCUUGAUCUGAACUGGGAUGACAAAAAAUUCAAACACAAUUUGACUUACGAGAGAAAUAGAUUCUUGUAUCCUGAUAAAUUUCAGUUAGAAGCCACUUUGGAAAACAUUUUCCUGACUUCGUGCACUAAACAGAAUAUUCUGGGUAAAAUAGAAACAAACUACUCAUCCUGGCUGGACUAUUAUAUUAACUUUGGAUUCUGCGACCUCCCAACUGUAAUUGCUUUAUCUGGAAAACAUCAGCUCAACAAAGGAGAUACUAUUUUGCAGUCAGAGAGCAGAUUCCACCUUGCUGAUCAUGGAAGAGAUGAUGGGUUGAUUGGAGUAUCCUUAAAAAAUAAGAGCACAGCUGAUAUGAAGAACUAUUAUGUGGAGAUUGAAUUAAAAGCCUUUGAAGAUAUUUGGCUAGGCCUGACAGGAACAACUACUUCCUCAGCUGUUCGGAGCCAAAUCCUGGUGGAGGGGAUUAUUGAUCAGAAAGAGAAAGUAAAAGUAGCUGCUUCUAAAGGAAAGGAAUGUCUUCAGUACUACAUGGGGUAUUUGAAAGGGGAUUUGGAGGAGGGAAUAGAAGUCAGUGCUUGUACCGAUGGGCAACAGAUGGCUACUGUUAAUACCUAUCUCAACAUUAAUGGUGAAAGGCAAGAAAAAAUGGGACAACUGAUGCUAACAGCUGUUAAUGAAAGCUUGAGUUUCUUGGCUCAUGGAUGUGGGGAUCCAAUUCUUAAGGCUGAGUACAAACUUAAUGAAAUUGGGAGUCUUCUAAAAGCCAAACUGGUGGAAAAGAUGAAGAAGUUUGAUGGAUAUAUUUGGAGACUCAGAAGAUCAAUGCAGCAAGUUGAUUUCCUGUCUGAAGCAGCUGGCUGGCCUUCGAUAGCCUUGCAAGAAGCAGCAGGAUUCCUCCACAGUGUGGGUAGAGCUGUCGCCCAGGUGUGGAAGCAGAGUGGAAUCAGGCAGAUACUGAGAAGCAAGCUCCCACUUUACCUGGAUAAAAUUCAAGACAUUAUCCAGCAAAUGCAGAAUGAAUUGCAAAAGCCAUUAGCAACUUUGAAGGAUGCCUACUACGAUGUAACCUUGAAGCCAUUGGAUGAGGUUUGGCUUGAGAAAACAGAAGAGUACAUGAAGAAAGUCCAGGCUUUUGUGCCCAGGAUUGUGAAAGAUGUUUGGCUAAUGGAACCAAUCCAGGUGGCAAUACGGGUUGUGAAAACAGGCCUGGAUAUGGUGAGUACACAUCAUGUUUUCAUUUUUAAUGGUUUAAAGGAAAAGUUCUACAAAUUCAAGUCUCAGCUGUGA
rnacentral:lncRNA from 1 species